rnacentral:rRNA from 1 species
CCUACGGGAGGCAGCAGUGAGGAAUCUUUGUCAAUGGGCGCGAGCCUGAACCAGCCAAGUCGCGUGAGGGAGGACGGCCCUACGGGUUGUAAACCUCUUUUGCCGGGGAGCAACGGGCGCCACGUGUGGCGUCACUGAGAGUACCCGGAGAAAAAGCAUCGGCUAACUCCGUGCCAGCAGCCGCGGUAAUCCGGAGGAUGCGAGCGUAAUCCGGAUUUAUUGGGUUUAAGGGGUGCGUAGGCGGAUCGUUAAGUCAGUCGUAAAAUUGAGGGGCUCAACCCCUUCCCGCCAUUGAAACUGGCGUGCUUGAGUGGAAGAGAAGUAUGCGGAAUGCGUGGUGUAGCGGUGAAAUGCAUAGAUAUCACGCAGAACCCCGAUUGCGAAGGCAGCAUGCCGGCUUCCGACUGACGCUGAAGCACGAAAGCGUGGGGAUCGAACAGGAUUAGAUACCCUAGUAGUC